CCUACGGGUGGCAGCAGUGGGGGAUAUUGCACAAUGGGGGAAACCCUGAUGCAGCGACGCCGCGUGAGUGAAGAAGUAUUUCGGUAUGUAAAGCUCUAUCAGCAGGGAAGAAAAUGACAGUACCUGACCAAGAAGCCCCGGCUAACUACGUGCCAGCAGCCGCGGUAAUACGUAGGGGGCAAGCGUUAUCUGGAUGUACUGGGUCUAAAGGGAACGUAGGCGGUUGAGUAAGUCAGGCGUGAAGGCCCCGGGCCCAACCCCGGGACUGCUUUGGAUACUGUGUAACUGGAGUACAGGAGGGGGGGGCGGAAUUCCUGGUGUAGCGGUGAAAUGCGUAGAUAUCAGGAGGAACACCGGCGGCGAAGGCGGCCGGCUGGACUGAAACUGACGUUGAGGCGCGAAAGCGUGGGGAGCAAACAGGAUUAGAUACCCUUGUAGUC
rnacentral:rRNA from 1 species